rnacentral:lncRNA from 1 species
UUUUUUUUUUUUUUUUUUUUCUUUAUUCCAAAGGUUGUGGUCUACCCGAAAUUAUGCCUGUGAGUAAGAGAGUUGCUGUCUAAAUGGUCAGGGAAAGAAUGGAACUAACACUUGAGAGUUUGAAAAGAACCCUCGAGUUUGGCAAGGAUACUAUCUUUAUAGAUAAGAAAAGGGGUUCAGAGAAUUUUUUUUUAACAUUGCAAGCUUACAAACCUGGUAUGCCAGUUAUCAGUUUGUAAUGUCUCAGCGUCAAAUCCAGUCUUCACUGCCAGGUAUUCAGCAACAGAGAUAGAGCCUAUGUAUUAUGUUGCUAGGGUUGCCAUAACAAAAGACCACAGACUGGGUGGUGUAAAUAACAGAAGUUUAUUUUCUCAUGAUUCUGAUGGCUGGAAGUCUGAGCUCAAGAUAUUGCAGGGAGAGAGAUGGGAUCAAUAUGGCAGAGGAGUAAGACAUGGAGCUUAUCUUCUCCCACACACACAUUAAAAAAAAAAAUCUACAUGUAGAGUGAUUCACACAGAACAUCUACCGAAUGCUGGCAGAAAAACUUAACCCUCCAAAAAGGACAAAAAAUCCCUCCACAUAUAACUGGGAGAACAAAAGGAAAAAAAGAGAGAGAGAGAGAAAGAUAAAGAUAUAAAAAGAAUUGGGAUGGGACACAGCACUCCUGAGAGGGAGCUAUGAAAGAGGAACAGGACCCACACCCUGGGAAGCUACCUAACAGGGAGCUCAGCUGAGACCGAACAACCUCAAAGCCUCAGAGAAAAAUGCAGCACCUAGCUUGAGGAGGACAAAGCAGACAGAGAGCCAUGAAGACUAUUGGUACCACUGCCCCCAGACACCACAGCCUGAGAUGCUCAGACAGGGGUUGGGCACUGAGACUUGGGCUCCAGAGGUCAGUUCUGGGGAGAGGGCUAGGGUUGGUUGUGUGCAGACAGCCUGAAGGAGAUAGGGAGCAGUGAACUAAGGGCUGGAGAGCAGAGUACCACAGCCAAGGGAACUGGGAAGCAGGUCUGGGCCCGUAGGAAAAGAAAGGUGCCAUUGUUGGGGAGGACAAGAGGAGGAGAAUCAUAUUGCCAUAGGAAUAUCUUUCUCUGUGCACAUGCAGACUCUUGGAGAGUGGGGCUAUGGGCAGCAAGGGACUUCUUAUAUGCGCUAAGUGUGACAAGAAGCUCCUUGCAUGGUCUAUAGGUGGUGGGAGCAAACCACCAGAAUUAUCCCUGACUCCAGAGUUAGGCAUGGCCUGCCACCACUAGGGGUCUGUGAACAGGCACCACCUAAGGCCCCAGUCACUUCAGAGGAUGGCACACACAGAGGAAGGCACUGCAACUAAGUACCACCCAUUGUUAUUCUCUAUCCCCUGGGAACACACACACCCUGCCAUUGUCACUACCAAAUGUUCCAGGUACCACCUAAACCUAUCUGAAGCUCACAGCCACUUCCCAGGGCCCAGCAACUAGGAGCAGCCUGCACCACCUUUCCACAAGUCCUUGCUACUCUCAAGAGCCCAGCAACCAGGCACUGGCUACCAUCCCUACCCAUUGUCUCCAUCUCCCUGGAAGCAUGUGCAGCACUCUAUCAAGGGGAUAACAGCCUGCACACACUGAAGAAAGAGACAGGAAGCAUCCAAACCCUCACACCAAAAAUAAAUAGUAAGGCCUCACAAAAUACCCAGGGGUACUCUCGCAUAUAACUAGCCCUCCAAGACCAUAGCAGUUUGUUUCCCCAAACUCACAGAAUAAGAGAAAUAUAAGCAAAAUGAAGAAGCUCAGGAGCCAUUCCUGGUUGAAAGAACAGAAAAAUUCACCUGACAGAACAAACAAUGAAACAGAACUCCGCAGUCUAAUAGACACUGAGUUUGAAAAGGAGAUAGUGAAAAUACUGAAGGAAUUAGGGUAAAUAUGAAGGAAUUAAGAGCAAAUGUGAACAGUAAUGCAGAUUACUUUAGGAAAGAACUGGAAAAUAUAAUGAGGAGCCAAAAAAAAUUAGGAAAUUCAUUUGAAGAGAAGCAAACUGAGUUAAAGGCACUGAAGAACAGAAUGAAUAAUGCAGAGGAAUGAAUUAGUGACUUGGAAGACAGAAACAUGGAAAUCAUACAAUCAGGACAGCAGACAGAAAACCAAAUGAAAACACAUAAAAGCAAUAUAAGAGAUUUUUGGGAUAAUAUAAAGUAGGCCAAGCAUAAUAGGGAUUCCAGAAGAAGAAAAAGAAAAGAGGAUUGAAAAUAUAUUUGAAGAAAUUAUAGCUGAAAACUUUACAAAUCUAAAGGAAACAGCUAUCAAGAUAAAGGAGGCACAGAGGUCACCAAACAAGUUGAAUCCAAACAGGCCCACAUCAAGAUAUAUUAUACUAAAAAUGGCAAAAGUUAAAGGGAGGAUUCUAAAGGCAGCAAGAGAAAAACAAAGAGUUAAUUAUAAGGGAAUCACCAUAAGGCUAUCAGCUGAUUUCUGAACAGAAACAUUACAGGCCAGAAGAGUGUGGCAAGAUAUAUUCAAAGUUUUAAAAGGGAAAAUUCUGCAGCCUAGAACACUUUAUCCAUCAAGGAUAUCAUUUAAAAUAGAAGGAGAGGAGUUCCCGUCGUGGCGCAGUGGUUAACGAAUCCGACUAGGAACCAUGAGGUUGCGGGCUCGAUCCCUGCCCUUGCUCAGUGGGUUAACGAUCCGGCGUUGCCGUGAGCUGUGGUGUAGGUUGAAGAUGCAGCUUGGAUACGGUGUUGCUGUGGCUUUGGUGUAGGCUGGCAGCUGCAGCUCCGAUUUGACCCCUGGCCUGGGAGCUUCCAUAUACCAUGAGUGCAUUCCUAAAAAGCAAAAUAAAAAACAAACAAAAAAUUAAAAGAAAAAAAAACUAUUGUAAAAGUGACAAUAAACACAAGGAACCACAAAAGGAUAAAUAUGAAGACAUUUAAAAAGGACAUCAAAAUCAUAAAAUGUGGGGAUGGAAAGUAAGAAAAUCUAGGCUCUUUUUUCUAGGAUGCACUUGAACCUAUAAGACUAUGAGGCUAAAGCAAGCAGAUAUAGAAAGCAGGUAACAAAAAAUUUAAAAAAAAAAAACGAAAACAAACAAACAAAAAAAAAGCAGUUAACAUUUGAAAAACAGGACAACCACAAAUCAAAACAAAUAAUACAUUCAUAAAAACUGCAAAGAAGAGGACACAAGCAUAGAGGAAAACAUCCAACCAAAAAAAGAAAGGAGAAAGAAGGAGAAGCAUGGAAUCAGCUGAAAAACAAGGUUUAAAAUGGCAAUAAAUGCAUAUUUAUCAAUAAUUAGCUUAAAUGUCAAUGGACUGAUGCUCCAAUCAAAAGACAAAGAGUGGCGUACUCAAUAAAAAAACAAGCGUCUAUAAAAUGUUGCCUGCAAGAGACUCACCUUAGGACAAAGGAUACAUAUAAAUUGAAAGUGAGGGGAUGGAAAAAGCUAUUUCAUGAGAAUGGGAAAACAGGAAAUCGGGAGUUGCAAUACUCAUAUCAGACAAAAUAGGCUUUAAACCGAAGCCCUUAAAGAAAGACAGAGAGAUGCUGGCAGGAUUAGUUUCAUUCUGAAGACUUUUAUACUUGGCUUAUAUUUGGUUGUUUCCUGCUUUUGCCUUCCCAUGGUCUUCUCCCUGUAUAUUUCUUUAUCUUAUUUCCUCUUAUAAAGGCACCAGAAAUAUCAGAUUAGGGCCCAGCCUACUGACCUCAUUUAAUCUUAAUUACACCUUUAAAAAUGCUGUUUUUGAAUAUAGUCAUUUAUAAGGUACUGGGGUUAACGACGUCAACAUAUGAAUUGGGGGGAGGGGGGUAAAAUUCUACCCAAAAGACCCUGUAAAUAUUUCUCCUUUGCAGCCUGUGUGGUGUUAAGCUUUGUCAACAGAAGGUGCUGAAGGCACUCAGUGGAGGAAGAGGUUUUUCUCCCUGGUUCUGCGUGCUUCUCUACAUAGUCUCUUGCAGCAUGGCUGGUUUCCACAGCACAUAGUUCCAGCAGCAUCCACCAAGCAGCAGCACAAGGCAGCUCCCCACAGACAGAUCCUUCCAGCCUCCUCUUUGGAGUCUUUUUAGUGAUGAGUUACCAGCAUGACACCUACCAUGAACAGGCUCUCCAGGCACUCAAAACCUGCCAGUAUGACACCUCCCUGUGGGUGGCUUCCUCUGAAUGCACCCAGGACCUUCUUGAAUGACCUAGCAGCCUCAGCAAACACCUCUGCCAUUGAGUGAGCCCUCUCUGAUGAAAUCUGAACCUCAGUCCUGGGGUAGAAGGAGUUUUCCCAGAUUUUUUCAUUCCUUGGGUAUUAUUCUUUCUCAUUCCUAGGCGUAGUGGCUGUCUCCUUUACCUGCAAGCCCUUUAUUCCCUAUAAUAUUUUACUCCUCACCAGUCAAUGCCCUGAUACCCCAAUUCCCUGUUAAUAAUUCUGUGUAAUAGUUAUUUUUUUCUUCAAAUUACUUUGAAGUAUCUGUCUCCUAAUUAUAGCUGAACUGAUAGGACUGAGAAGUGGAAUAAUCCUAUAAUAAAGAAAAAUGCACAGGUGCUCCUAAGGUGAGAAAAGAAACUGUAAAAACUAUCAUUCUUUGCAGAGGAUAAUAUCAUAUGUCCAGAACACCCAAUGGAAUCACCAGAAAAGCUACUGGAACUAACAAGAGUAUUCAAUAGGCUAGCUAUCUCAUACAAAUCAAUAGACUUCUUUAUGCCUGUAACGAACAUAGAAAAUGUAAAAGAGAAAAUUAGCAACCUACUUUUACAGCAAGAAACCAUUUUAAAGAAUCUAAGAAGUGUUUAUGAAAACAGAGAAUGCAUAAGGUCAUUAAAAAUUUAAGUGAUAUAAAUUAAAUUUAAAAUAGAUUAUUGUUUACAUGACAUCAAUGAAUAAGGAGAUAAAU